CCUGAAACCAUUUGCUUACAAUCAUUCAGAGCCCUAUGUAGCAAUACAGGGUGAUGGACUGCCUUUUGCAUAAUGAGCCUGCGAGUUGUGGUGUCUGGCAAGGUUAAGCAAACGCGAAGCCGUAGCGAAAGCGAGUCUGAAUAGGGCGCUUAGUCAGAUGCUGCAGACCCGAAACGAAGUGAUCUAUCCAUGAGCAAGUUGAAGCUAGUGUAAGAACUAGUGGAGGACUGAACCCAUAGGCGUUGAAAAGCCCCGGGAUGACUUGUGGAUAGGGGUGAAAGGCCAAUCAAACUUCGUGAUAGCUGGUUCUCUCCGAAAUAUAUUUAGGUAUAGCGUUGUGUCGUAAUAUAAGGGGGUAGAGCACUGAAUGGGCUAGGGCAUACACCAAUGUACCAAACCCUAUCAAACUCCGAAUACCUUAUAUGUAAUCACAGCAGUCAGGCGGCGAGUGAUAAAAUCCGUCGUCAAGAGGGAAACAACCCAGACUACCAGCUAAGGUCCCUAAAUCUUACUUAAGUGGAAAACGAUGUGAAGUUACUUAAACAACCAGGAGGUUGGCUUAGAAGCAGCCAUCCUUUAAAGAAAGCGUAAUAGCUCACUGGUCUAGUGAUUUUGCGCGGAAAAUAUAACGGGGCUAAAGUAAGUACCGAAGCUGUAGACUUAGUUUACUAAGUGGUAGGAGAGCGUUCUAUUUGCGUCGAAGGUAUACCGGUAAGGAGUGCUGGAGCGAAUAGAAGUGAGCAUGCAGGCAUGAGUAGCGAUAAUUAAUGUGAGAAUCAUUAACGCCGUAAACCCAAGGUUUCCUACGCGAUGCUCGUCAUCGUAGGGUUAGUCGGGUCCUAAGUCGAGUCCGAAAGGGGUAGACGAUGGCAAAUUGGUUAAUAUUCCAAUACCAACAUUAGUGUGCGAUGGAAGGACGCUUAGGGCUAAGGGGGCUAGCGGAUGGAAGUGCUAGUCUAAGGUCGUAGGAGGUUAUACAGGCAAAUCCGUAUAACAAUACUCCGAGAACUGAAAGGCUUUUUGAAGUCUUCGGAUGGAUAGAAGAACCCCUGAUGCCGUCGAGCCAAGAAAAGUUUCUAAGUUUAGCUAAUGUUGCCCGUACCGUAAACCGACACAGGUGGGUGGGAUGAGUAUUCUAAGGCGCGUGGAAGAACUCUCUUUAAGGAACUCUGCAAAAUAGCACCGUAUCUUCGGUAUAAGGUGUGGUUAGCUUUGUAUUAGGAUUUACUCCGAAAGCAAGGAAACUUACAACAAAGAGUCCCUCCCGACUGUUUACCAAAAACACAGCACUCUGCUAACUCGUAAGAGGAUGUAUAGGGUGUGACGCCUGCCCGGUGCUCGAAGGUUAAUUGAUGGGGUUAGCAUUAGCGAAGCUCUUGAUCGAAGCCCGAGUAAACGGCGGCCGUAACUAUAACGGUCCUAAGGUAGCGAAAUUCCUUGUCGGUUAAAUACCGACCUGCAUGAAUGGCGUAACGAGAUGGGAGCUGUCUCAAAGAGGGAUCCAGUGAAAUUGUAGUGGAGGUGAAAAUUCCUCCUACCCGCGGCAAGACGGAAAGACCCCGUGGACCUUUACUACAGCUUGACACUGCUACUUGGAUAAGAAUGUGCAGGAUAGGUGGGAGGCUUUGAGUAUAUGACGCCAGUUGUAUAUGAGCCAUUGUUGAGAUACCACUCUUUCUUAUUUGGGUAGCUAACCAGCUUGAGUUAUCCUCAAGUGGGACAAUGUCUGGUGGGUAGUUUGACUGGGGCGGUCGCCUCCCAAAUAAUAACGGAGGCUUACAAAGGUUGGCUCAGAACGGUUGGAAAUCGUUCGUAGAGUAUAAAGGUAUAAGCCAGCUUAACUGCAAGACAUACAAGUCAAGCAGAGACGAAAGUCGGUCUUAGUGAUCCGGUGGUUCUGUGUGGAAGGGCCAUCGCUCAAAGGAUAAAAGGUACCCCGGGGAUAACAGGCUGAUCUCCCCCAAGAGCUCACAUCGACGGGGAGGUUUGGCACCUCGAUGUCGGCUCAUCGCAUCCUGGGGCUGGAGCAGGUCCCAAGGGUAUGGCUGUUCGCCAUUUAAAGCGGUACGCGAGCUGGGUUCAGAACGUCGUGAGACAGUUCGGUCCCUAUCUGCCGUGGGCGUAAGAAGAUUGAAGAGAUUUGACCCUAGUACGAGAGGACCGGGUUGAACAAACCACUGGUGUAGCUGUUGUUCUGCCAAGAGCAUCGCAGCGUAGCUAAGUUUGGAAAGGAUAAACGCUGAAAGCAUCUAAGCGUGAAGCCAACUCUAAGAUGAAUCUUCUCUAAGCUCUCUAGAAGACUACUAGUUUGAUAGGCUGGGUGUGUAAUGGAUGAAAGUCCUUUAGCUGACCAGUACUAAUAGAGCGUUUGGCUUAUCUUUAAUAAAGCAU
rnacentral:rRNA from 1 species